rnacentral:lncRNA from 1 species
CUAAUGCUGACUAAAAGGAAAAUUCAGUUUAGGGUUUAAAACCCUAAUGUUGACUAAAAGGAAAAUUCAGUUUAGGGUUUAAAACCCUAAUGCUGAUUAAAGGAAAAAUUCAGGUCAGGGUUUAAAACCCUAAUGCUGGCUGAAAGGAAAAAGUUCAGUUUAGAGUUUAAACCCUAAUGCUGACUAAAAGGAAAAUUAAGUUUAGGGUUUAAAACCCUAAUGCUGACUAAAAGGAGAGUUCAGUUUAGGGUUUAAAUCCCUAAUGCUAACUAAAAGGAAAAUUCAGUUUAGGGUUUAAAACCCUAAUGCUGAUUAAAGGAAAAAUUCAGUUUAGGGUUUAAAACCCUAAUACUGACUAAAAGGAAAAUUCACUUUAG